rnacentral:rRNA from 1 species
CCCUUAGAUGUUCUGGGCCGCACGCGUGCUACACUGAGUAAUUCAAUGGGUAAGGGAACGCUAGAGCAUUACCUAAUCUUGAAAUUUGCUCGUGAUGGGGAUCGACGGUUGCAAUUUUCCGACGUGAACGAGGAAUACCUUGUAGGCGCAUGUCAUCAUCAUGCGCCGAAUACGUCCCUGCCCUUUGUACACACCGCCCGUCGCUCCUACCGAUUGAGUGAUCCGGUGAGGCUCUGGGACCUGGACGGAAAGAGCGUUUCGCUUGUUCUGUUUGGGAAACUUGGUCGAACCUUAUCAUUUAGAGGAAGGAGAAGUCGUAACA